GACGAACGCUGGCGGCGUGCUUAACACAUGCAAGUCGAACGGAAAGGCCCUGCUUUUGUGGGGUGCUCGAGUGGCGAACGGGUGAGUAACACGUGAGUAACCUGCCCUUGACUUUGGGAUAACUUCAGGAAACUGGGGCUAAUACCGGAUAGGAGCUCCUGCUGCAUGGUGGGGGUUGGAAAGUUUCGGCGGUUGGGGAUGGACUCGCGGCUUAUCAGCUUGUUGGUGGGGUAGUGGCUUACCAAGGCUUUGACGGGUAGCCGGCCUGAGAGGGUGACCGGCCACAUUGGGACUGAGAUACGGCCCAGACUCCUACGGGAGGCAGCAGUGGGGAAUAUUGCACAAUGGGCGGAAGCCUGAUGCAGCAACGCCGCGUGCGGGAUGACGGCCUUCGGGUUGUAAACCGCUUUCGCCCGUGACGAAGCGUGAGUGACGGUAAUGGGUAAAGAAGCACCGGCUAACUACGUGCCAGCAGCCGCGGUGAUACGUAGGGUGCGAGCGUUGUCCGGAUUUAUUGGGCGUAAAGGGCUCGUAGGUGGUUGAUCGCGUCGGAAGUGUAAUCUUGGGGCUUAACCCUGAGCGUGCUUUCGAUACGGGUUGACUUGAGGAAGGUAGGGGAGAAUGGAAUUCCUGGUGGAGCGGUGGAAUGCGCAGAUAUCAGGAGGAACACCAGUGGCGAAGGCGGUUCUCUGGGCCCUUCCUGACGCUGAGGAGCGAAAGCGUGGGGAGCGAACAGGCUUAGAUACCCUGGUAGUCCACGCUGUAAACGGUGGGUACUAGGUGUGGGGUCCAUUCCACGGGUUCCGUGCCGUAGCUAACGCUUUAAGUACCCCGCCUGGGGAGUACGGCCGCAAGGCUAAAACUCAAAGGAAUUGACGGGGCCCCGCACAAGCGGCGGAGCAUGCGGAUUAAUUCGAUGCAACGCGUAGAACCUUACCUGGGUUUGACAUGGAUCGGGAGUGCUCAGAGAUGGGUGUGCCUCUUUUGGGGUCGGUUCACAGGUGGUGCAUGGCUGUCGUCAGCUCGUGUCGUGAGAUGUUGGGUUAAGUCCCGCAACGAGCGCAACCCUUGUUCACUGUUGCCAGCACGUUAUGGUGGGGACUCAGUGGAGACCGCCGGGGUCAACUCGGAGGAAGGUGGGGAUGACGUCAAGUCAUCAUGCCCCUUAUGUCCAGGGCUUCACGCAUGCUACAAUGGCUGGUACAGAGAGUGGCGAGCCUGUGAGGGUGAGCGAAUCUCGGAAAGCCGGUCUCAGUUCGGAUUGGGGUCAGCAACUCGACCUCAUGAAGUCGGAGUCGCUAGUAAUCGCAGAUCAGCAACGCUGCGGUGAAUACGUUCCCGGGGCCU
rnacentral:rRNA from 1 species